AUUGAACGCUGGCGGCAUGCUUUACACAUGCAAGUCGAACGGCAGCGCGGGCUUCGGCCUGGCGGCGAGUGGCGAACGGGUGAGUAAUACAUCGGAACGUGCCCAGUAGUGGGGGAUAGCUCGGCGAAAGCCGGAUUAAUACCGCAUACGACCUGAGGGUGAAAGCGGGGGAUCUUCGGACCUCGCGCUAUUGGAGCGGCCGAUGGCAGAUUAGCUAGUUGGUGGGGUAAAGGCCUACCAAGGCGACGAUCCGUAGCUGGUCUGAGAGGACGACCAGCCACACUGGAACUGAGACACGGCCCAGACUCCUACGGGAGGCAGCAGUAGGGAAUGUUGCGCAAUGGGCGAAAGCCUGACGGAGCAACGCCGCGUGAGUGAUGAAGGUCUUCGGAUCGUAAAACUCUGUUAUUAGGGAAGAACAAAUGUGUAAGUAACUAUGCACGUCUUGACGGUACCUAAUCAGAAAGCCACGGCUAACUACGUG
rnacentral:rRNA from 1 species